GAGAGGAGGAGGCAGCCCGGGUUGGCGAAGAGGCGGCUCCACGCCCCGCCGCCCGCCGGCACCUCCGCCGCCGCAGCCCGCCUGGCCGCGCAGCCCGGACGCGCCGCCACCCGGGGCUGCCGCCGCCGCCGCCUGAGCCGCCGCCGCCGGACUGGUCGCCAGCGCAGGCAGACCGCUCCUCCUCUGGCCGGGGUCUCGGGGAAGGGCUGACAGAGGAGGUGACUCAGCGAAGGGGAGACGGUUUGAAAUCAGGAGAGAGCUGCCGAGGGAAGCCAGGAAGCUCAGUGCGUGUGUCCAUGUGAGCGUAAGCUUGGCCUCUCCCUCCCAGGCCGAGAGCCCAGCCACCAGGAGUUGGGCAAUGUGGAUUGCUACUCCCCACCUCCCUUUCCUGGCACACAGCAGGAGAAAAGUGAGUACUUUGGAGCCACACAGAAGCCUGCCUCUGUCAUUUCCUAGCUAGGGGACCUUGUGCCAGUGGCUUCACAUCUCUGUGACUCAGUUUCCCUGUCUGUGAAGUGGCUGAACAAUAGAGCUGUUCAGAGGACUAGAAUUUUGCUGAAUAGUAGUUGCUGGCAGCUCCAAGUACAGUGAAGCUGUGCGUAGCUAAUAAUGAGUCUUAAUUGUGGGCGGACCCAGGAGCAAAGUGCACAGGGGUGCAAAGGAAGUAGUGAUGGAUUUUGACUCAGGCGAUCCUGGAAUGCUUGUAGGGAUGGGGCUUGAAUCACAUCACUUCUGACAACAUGAUAAAGAGGUGGGAGCAGGAGAAAGUUUUCUGUUUCAGGAUAGUGUAGGCAGAAAGGCAGGCAGGUAUAGAGGCUCUGGUGAGAUGGGAGGACACCUGUUGUAGAGGACGGCCAGGAGAGAGGGACAGCUGGGGACAGGGCAAGGUAAGGAUGUUGCAGAAGGGAGUCAGAGGAUUGUCAGGUCGGCCACUCCACUGAUGGACCCCUGUUGAUCGACUGCGUGGUUGAUCCAUUUUACAGGUGAGAAAAUGGAGGCGCUCGGUCACUUGUACAGGUGCACCCAAAUGUGCAGUUUUCUGUAACGCUAGCCCUGGCCCCCUCCUCCAUCAUGUUCAAGGCCUGGCAAAGCCCUGGGCAAUCUUCCUGCCCUCACCCAGCCCACCCACCUGGUGUGGCUCGAACUUCCCAAACCCCAAAUGAGUUUCUCCUUUUCGGAGACCUUUUUGACACUCAACUGGCUGUAUCCAUGCCUCCUCACAAUUCUCUGCCUAAUUUAAUUGGGCAAAGAUGUCAUGUAGACAUCACUUACAAUUCUUUUUCCUGUGCUCCCAGCUGAAUUUUUUGGUUGCCUCUGAGAAUUCCCCAAGUGUGGGCUUCAGCUGGGCAGCGCCUGAUGCUCCACUGCCCACCUUGGUUACUCUGUCCUCCUGGCAUGGGGAAGGUAGAGGUGUAGGGGCAUCUGCCUUGAUAGGCCGAGCCCCCACCCCUAGGUGGGAGGCCAGUGUGUGCAGAGAGGGAAAAGGUCUGGGAUGGGACUUGUGAGCUCCGGUGAGAAGAAUGCCUGAAGGUACAGUUCAUAAAGACAAAAAACAAAUAAAUGAGAUAAGCUAAUUGGGGAAGGUUUCACAUGUAAUCUAUUUAAAAGUCUUACUUUUUAACUUUUCAUUUUCAGACAGUUGCAAAAAAAUUUACAAAAAGUUGCAAAGACAGAAUUCAUGAUUUCUUGAAUGCUAACAUCCAGCUUAAACACAGAACAAUAACAAGAUCAGGAAGCUAACGGGGUGGAGCCCUAUUAUUACUCAGCUCUAACUCACACUUGCAUUUGUCCCUUCUGCCAGUCUGGGGUGCAUUUCUGGGUCCUAUAUCACACUGAGUUGUCCUGUUCCUCUAACCUGGAACCAGUUCUUUAGUCUCUUGUCUUUGGCGAUCUUGACACUUUUAGUGCAAACUGGCUGUUUAUUGUGUACAUGUCCAUCUAUUUGGGGCAUCGGGAGUUUAUUCGUGUUCAGACUCAGGCUGUGCUACAGGAGGGGCCUGGGUGCUGCUCCGAGCAUCGUGGUGGGAGCUGCCUGUUCUCAGCCCACCCCACCACCUGGGAUGUCGUCACCCUUGGCCACUUACUCUAGGAGAUGCCCGAGAGGAUCCUCUACUGAAACGUUAUGUUUUCCCUUUAUAAUUAAUAAGUAUCUUGUGGGGAGACACUUGGAGACAAUGUAAUGCUCUGUUUCUCAUCAUUCUUCUGUCCACUAAUUUAAGCAUCUGUUGAUGCCUCCUGCCUAAAAACAGUUAUGGCCUUGGUGUUUGCCAAAUGGCAAUUUUCUAUUUCCAUCAUUACUUUUUACAUUUAUUAGUUGAAGAGCUUUCCAUCUUCCCCCAAUUAUUUAUAUAUCCAAUUGUCUAUUAUUUAUUUGUGUUAGUAUAGAUUCAUAGGGUAUUUUUUUUUAAGUACUGAGGAUCAGAUCCAGAGACCCUCCACCGCUGAGCUGCAUCCCCAGCCCUUUUUAUUAUUAUUAUUUGGGGACAGGGUCUUGCUAGGUUGCCCAGGCAGGACUUAAACUUGCAACCCUCCUGUCUCAGCCACCUUAAGUGCAUUUCUCUCCCUACCCCAGCUCUGUCUCUCUCUUACUCCCAUCCCCACUCUUUUCCUGUCUUCCCUCUCCUUUCUUCCUGCCCUCCCUUCCCUCUGGGUCCCCAUCCCACCUUCCUCUGUCUUUGUUUCUCUUCCUCUCUUUAUUUUUCUUGCCAAAGAAGCCAAAUUAUUUGUCCAGGAGGGUUUCUCUCCACCGGACUUGACUGAGCACGUCCCCGUGGUGUCAUUUAACACUCUCUUCUAGCCCCCGAGUCUCCUGUUAACUGGUGAUGGCCCCAACAGGCUUGAUCGGAUGCAGGUUUGAUAUUUUUGGCAAGACUACAUGGCAUGUGGCUGUAUGUCCUUCCCUCAGGAAGCGCGUGAGGUCUGGCUGCCUCCCUCUCUGUGACAUUGAGAUUGAUUGGUGGAGCUGUCAGCCUGAUCCAUCCGUUGUCAGGUUCCCCAGCAGCUUUCUAUGCUGGGUUUUGUGCCCACUGAUACUCACUGCCUGGGUCCAUUAAUUCAUUAGGAGCUGGUGAACAUGGAUAUGCUGAUUCUGUCCCUCCUCCUCUCAGUCUUAGCUAGGAGAUUGCUGUACAGAGAAACCACCCCUCAUCAAUUAUUUGCUUACCCCGAAGGGAAGUGUGUCCAGGAAAGAGAAGAUAAAUGCUUAGUUCUUUCCCUUUAUCUGCCAGUUUUCAAAAUAAGCUAGUUCCCAGACAUCUUUCAAAGGUGGUCAAAGAAAGUUUUAAAAAAAUAUCAUUCAAAAGCUGGGCACAGUGGUGCACACCUGUGAUCCUAGCAUUUGGAAAGCUGAGGCAGGAGGAUUGUGCAUUUGAGACCAACCUGAACUACAUAGUGAGAAUCUGUCAAAAAACAAAAAACCCCACACGAACAAAAAGUCAUUAGAAGCCCGUGGAGAAGCUCAUGGACACAGGUGUAAUGGAACUGCCUUAAUCCAUUUCCGUUACAAUUGUUACUUGUGUUCAGGCCGCCCCAUCUCAGACAUGUGGGGGUUUCUGCUCCUGACAUCAGCUCCUGAACCCCCUGGGCCUCCUUGGUGGCCUUGGAGGCUUCCUUGCUUUCUGGGAGAACAAGUUGUUCCAAGUCCACCGUGUACAUUUGGAGCCACGGUGUUAGAGACCACAGUCCUGGUGUGGAAUGAAUGUUCAGAACACCUGGAGCCAUGCAGCUGGGAUCAUUUUCACAGGACCUCAGUGGAUGGGAUGAUGGAGAAAAGGGCAAAGCGGUGGCUUUGAAUUUGGAUCUUGUCUCCUUCCUAGCCCUGUCACAGCCCUCCCCAAAGGAUCCCUUUAUUCACUUUUACUCCAGCUUCUUCAUUUAGAAAACACUAGUGGAUCUCCCCUAUCCAGCUCCUCACUCCUGCUGGUGUUUUCUUGGGGAACGUCUUUGAGAUCAAAGACAUCUAGAAGAGGGAGGCCACCUGUGGUCCCUCAGUCCACAUUUGGGUCCUGCUGUGCUUUGCUGUGUUGUUGACUUGUCACUGCUGUUUGCCUCAUGGUGUCUUUGGGGGUGCGGAGUAACAAGAGAAUUCACCGAGGGACCCCUUCUUCCCCAUCAAAUCCAGACCAGAAAAAUGACAUAUAAUAUCCUUCACCAGAGCAACUUAAAAAUUAAUACAGGCCUCCGCGCGUCACCCCCGCCUUCAUCUAAGCAGCCUGCAUUCUACAUUUGAGAUUAAAACUCACAUUUCAUUUUUAUAUGCUGUGCUUAAUCCAAUAAUGAUUUCAUGUUACAAACAGCAAUAAUAUCUUUCAGCAUAGUUAAUCAGAAUAGACUUAAUGCUGUCACUAUUUAUUAACCUUUGUUGAAAAGCAAGAAGUUUCUCUCUAAUCUGUGAUUGUUGGUCUUGUCAGGCUCUAUCAAGUGAAAAAACAGUUUUGGCAUUCAUUAAAACGGUGUGAGCCCUGAAAUGACAAUUGCAGCCGGAUGGUAUUUGGUGCAUGAAAUCUUUGUUGCAUUCGUUGGGAUAACUGGUGAGGCCAGGGAGGCACACGGUGGGGACCCACACAGUCAAGAGACGAGGGGUUUCACCCUUGAGUUCCUCUUGGAUAAAGAAACUGUUCUCUCUUUUUUUUUUUUUUUUUUUGCCCCAUUAAGUUAUUGGUACAUUUUAGGUAUAAAACACAUAUUACAUUCAUCAUUGGGAUCUUGUACCUUUACAUGAGUCUCUUGGUUCUUAUUUUUUUUCCCCUUCCCCUGCCCUCCCUUCACCCCCUCCACCCUUCCCUAUUUGCAAAGAUUUUGUUUCCAUUUUUUUUCCUUUUCUCACAUUUUAAGAAACUGUUCUUAUACACUAGGAAAGGGGGCCAAAAUCAGGGUGCAGGACAAGGGUCGCAUUGGGUCUCUUGGUUCCCUUGCCAAAGAAACUCAUCAUUAAUUGAAGACAGUGGCUUUGCACUUGGAUUCUAGAUGCCUCACUCAUCUCUUCCCCAACCCUGCGCACAUUAAUGGCCCUUGGACAGUCAUUUGUCCCUUACAUUCUUUCCCCCACCAUCUUCUUUAUUUGGAAAACAAGUGUGGCUUUCCCCUACCUCCAGCACCUAUGUUGAGCUGGAGUCCAUUUGAAGGAGUCCAUGAAAACAAAGUGAUGGCCAUUAGAUGUCAGACUGUACUUCAGUGGGGGCCCCUGGGCAAGUGAUCUCAAUUGGUCGACUCGACACUUGGCUUGCAGGAGAAUGUGCCUGGCUGCUAGGAAUUCCAUAGGCCUGGACGCCUUGAGACUGCCUUUCUAGCAAACUCCCAAGUGAGCUAAUGCUGCGGGUGUGGGUAGCCCUGAGGGGGUUGUGGUUUGGAGUUUUCUGGACCAUGUCAGGAUGUCCUUCUGGGUCAAGAGGCCAUUGACCUUGCCUGGUGAGUGGAUGGAAAGUGCUUUGUCUCUGGUGGUUCUUGAUGCCAGCGCUGGGCAUUGUGGUUUGGGACAAGCAAACAGAAGCCAUGCUUCUUAUCCUCUCAAGGGAUGGUAGGGUGUCAAUGUUUGGAAGCAGCCCUUCUGCACCAGUGUGCAUGUGGACACCCAGGGAUCUCACUAAAAUGCAGAUUCCGAUUCACUAGGACAUGGGUGGGGCCUGAGAGUCUGCAUCCCUCAGACUCCCAGCUGAUAUGGGGAAAAACAGACCGCAUCUGGCGGGGGUGUGGGUAGCAAAGCUCUGCCACAUCGGUACUCUUGGCCAACUUCUGGUCCUUCCUGGAUUUAAAUUACAGAGUCUGAGCCUUGCUCACUGCACCAAAGGGAAAUUUGUCAUUAGAAAAAGGAAAGUUUCAUCUUGCAGAAGCCUCUUGACGGCUCCAAAGAGAAGGUGCUCUCCCAAAGGGCUUGUCCUUCCAUUUUUGUUUCCAGGACAUGCUUCUCAGAAAGUCCCUGUUGGGUCUUUAUCUUCCAAAGAUGAUUCAGAGAAAAAUCUAAUCUGGUGAAGAAGCGCCGAUGCCAGAGGCCUAGGAGGGACAUUCCACUAAGCAAAUAAAGUGCUUGUUUGGGACUGGAUGGUGUUGGCUGAGAUCAGUGAUUGAUGGACCCCUUCUCUCCCAGGAAGGGUUGAGCAGGGCAGGAAGUUUUGCCCAAGUAAAUGGGGAGGUGAGCAGGUGCUGUUAAUUAUUUAGGAAGAAUUAAGCUGUCUGGGUGGGUGGGUUUUAUGCUCUGUUUGGUAAUAAAGGUUGCUGCAGAAAGGCAUUUUAAAAUUCAGUAUUCUCAUUUGCCUCAUAUUGCAAAGAAGCCGAGCCUGGCUUUGACUGGUGGGAGCAUCUGGAAUUAAUGAACCAGCUUCUUACAGUGCAGAAAUCAAUGUUUGCUGCAUUAAUUGCACAACGCUGAAACCUCGCUUUUUAUUUCUGACUUGCAGAGCCCUGGCCUAAGAAAUCUCUCUUAAGCAGCGUUCUGGGGCUUUGCUGUUUCCUUAAUCCAUCUGGGCGUGGGGAAGGAAUUGCUUCUUCCCCAUGGAGGUGUGACCUAGGGGGCCGUGGGGGACACUCGGAACAGGUUGGGUGCUGUCGGGGCCCAGAGGGGCAGGUCCGGGGAACACCACAGCAAGACUUAGGGCUCAGGCCCUUCUGCAGUAGCCACACUCUGCUCUUCCAUCUCCUGAGAGUUUCAGCUUGUCAUUUCUUAUUUUAUUUUUUUAUUUUUUAUUUUUGGUACCGGGGAUCAAACUCGGGACCUUGCAGUUGCGAGGCAGGCAGGCAGCGGAACCACUGAGUUAACUCCCCAGCCCAGUUUGUCAUUUCUUUAGGUUAAAAUGCGCCACAUUGAGGAAUUGCAUAAGUUUCAGCUGGGUGUGUGUCUCUUGCCUUCUCCAUUUUUCCCCUGUGAAAACCCCUUUGGAGUGUGGAUCUCUGGAUCCGAGAUGUCACUUGACCACCAUGUCCUUAAGUAUGAGAGCAUUGCACAGCAUCAUCUGCUCCCCCUGGCUGAGCAGCAUCUGUGGACCCAGUGCUUGGUGCUUCAGACAAUGACUCAAGGAGACGACGUUUGAGCCACAUGUGGAGAAAUGGAUAGGAGCUCACUAAGGAGGGAGGGAAGUAAGGGCAUCCCAGGUAGAUGAACAGCGUGAACAAAGGCCCUGAGGCACAAAGGUGCUGGCUUCGAGGCCUGAAGCUCCUGCUGGCUGGAGUGGUGGUGGGGAGCCAGGAAUGUGGGUGGGCAGAGUUUUAGCAGAGGAGGAGCUGGGGAGGAACUUGCAGAUCUUCCAGUAGGUGGUGGGAAUGCCUAAGCAGGGGACAAGAUGACUGGUUGAGCUGUACUUCUUACUUACAUACUGACUCUGAGCUUUGACAUAAAUCAGAAUAUGGCACCAUUCCAUCAUUCCCCAAGCUCCUUUGUGCUGCUCCCUCAUAUUCAAACUCUUCUCCCCACUUCCCCCAUACCUGUCGCCACUGACCUGGUCCCUGACUCCAUAGCUUUGACUUUCCAGAUGCUCUAUAAAUGGAAUAGUGAGGCUUUUGUCUUUUGAAUCUCACUUCUUCCGCUAAGCACAGUGUUCUUGAGUUUCCUUCGUGUUGUUGCACGUAUUCACAGUUUGUUCCUUUUUAUUGCUGAAUAGUAUUCCAUUGAGUGGUUUAUUCAUUCACUUGUUAAGUGGUAUUUGAGUCGUUUACAGUUUCUGAUAGUUACAGUUAAGCAGCUGUGAACACUUGCAUUCAGGUUGUAUGUGGCCAUAGUUUUUAUCUCUCUAGGGUAAAUACCAAGGAGUGGGAUUUCUAGGUGAUUUGAUCAGUAAAUGUUUCACCUUUUAAGAAACAGCCCAGGCUGAGGAUUUAGCUCAGUGGUUCCACCACUUGCCUCGCAAGCACAGGGACCCGAGUUCGAUCUCCGGUACCAAAAAGAGAAGAAGAAACAGCCCGACUUUUUUUCUAAAGUAGCUAUACCAUCUUGCAUUUCUCCCAGUAACAUGAGAAUUCCAGUUGCUUCACAUGCUCACCAACACUUGCUAUUAUUAGGUGUGUUUUUUUCCUCAAUUGUAGCUAUCUUUUUUUUGGUACUGGGGAUCGCACUCGGGACCUUGCGCUUGCAAGGCAAGCGGUGGAACCACUGAGCUAAAUCCCCAGCCCAGUUGUAGCUGUCUUAACAGAUGUAUAGUAGUAUCUUAUUUAAUUUGCAUUUCCUUAAUGACUAAUGAUGUUGAGCAUUUUUUUAAGGUAUUUACUUGCUAUCCAUAUCCCCAUUUUUAAGUUGGGUUGUUUGGUUUCUUAUUGUUGAGUUGUGAGUAUAGAUAUAGAUAUAGAUAUAUGCUGGGGAUCAGUCCUCUGUCAGAUAAAUGAUUUGUAAAUAUUUUCUCCCAGCUGUUGGCUUGUCUUUUCAUUCUUUUAAAGUACAGAGUUUUUAUAAAGAUCAUUGCAGUUGAGCAUGUCUAACCUCUGACACCUCACUUGCCACAAUCAAGCCAUGCUUACCUUUUUUUAAUUCCUCGAAGAAAUCCGAGUCUUUCCUUCUCUAAGGCCUUUACCCAUGCUGUGGCUUCUGUGUGGAAUACUCUUCCACUUGGGAAGAAAUCUUGCCCUGCCUGCAUAUCACAGAGACAUUCUCCUGUGUGUUUUUUUUUAAAGCUUUGUUUUUUUAGCAUUUCAGUUUCAGUCCUUGAUCUGUCUUAGAUUAGUAUUUGUGAAUGUGAGAUAGGGUUUGAGGGUCAUUUUUAUUUUCUUUAAUAUGGCUAUCCAGUUGUUCCUACUUCAUUUUAAAGAUUUUUCUUUCCCUUACGAUUGCUUUGGUUUCUUUAUUCAAAACUCAAAUGAGCAUCUAUGUAUGAGUCUAUUUGUUCUUUUUCAGUGACCAGUAUGUCUGACCCUACAGCACUACCACAUUUUACUAAUUACUAUCAUCACAGUAGAUUUUGGAAUUAGGUAAAAUCGUCCAGUUUUCUUCUUCUGUUUCAAGUUUUGAUAGUCUAUGUCCUUUCAAUUUCCUUAUAAGUUUUAAAAUUGACUUUUUAAUUUCUACAACAAAUAAACCUAGAGUUUGAAUUGGAUUGCAUUGAAUCUAUAGAUCAUUCUGGAGAGAAUACGAUUUCUUAAUAGUAUUGAGUCUUCCAAUCCAUGAACAUGGUAUUUCUCCAGUUCCUUCCCUUUGAUCUUCUCUAUGCUUACUUUUGCUCCUCUUCAGUUCCCAGCCUAAGUGUCAUCUCCUCAAGGAGGUGUUUGUUGACCCCUGAUUAGAUGCUGUAGCUUCUGUCAUGCCCUCUAGUGCUACUUCCCUUCCUUCUUGGCACUAAUCAAAAUAGUAAUAAUGAUCUGUGUGAUUAUCUGUUUGACGUUUGUCUCCCUCACUGGACCAUAAAGCUCCAUAAGCUCAAGGACCAGGUCUGCCCUGUCCACAGACUAGCAUGCAGUAAGUUUUUAGUAAAGAUUUAUGAAUACAUGAAUGAAUGCCCUCUUUUUUUGUUUUUUGCUUUUUGGGUUUUUUUUUGGGGGGGGGACAGAAGGAUUUGUUUAGGUUUUAUGUGAAUGCCAACUGAACAGACUAUGUCCAAAGGAAGAGCCGAAUGCCCUCUGUAUUUUGGCACAUAUCUCCAGGUCACUGGCUGUUGCCAUUUAUAGUUCAGUGCACACUUUGGUCUCUGUUUUUAGAUGGAGAAACCAAGGCCUCAUCUUCCAACCCCUUUCUUAGCCUCUGCCUAAUGCUUAGUUCCUGCUGACACACAUUAUACAUUGAGUGCUCCUAUUCAUUUGACAGGUAGAUGUGUGUAAUUAUGAUUUUUAAAAACUCAUACAUCUACAGAGAGUUUUUAGGUAAUGAUUAUAAUACAGACAUUUAAUUUAUUUUGAGAGAAAAAAAAAAAGGUGUUGCUUUCACAGCACCAGUCAGGGCAUUAGAAAAACCAGUGGCAGAAUCUUGAUUGAAUUAGGCUGUGCUCAUAAUUAGGGAAUGCUGGGGCCCACAGAACAUCAACAAGCAGUAAGGACAAAGUGAUAGAAUUAACAGUCUCUCUCUCUCUCUCUCUCUCUCUCUCUCGCUCUCUCUGUCUCUCUCUCUCAUUUGAGAGUUGGCAUUUUAGGGACAUUGUGUUGUUAAUUAAUUGGUUUGUAGACACUAUUUGGAUGUAUAGAUUUUAUUCUACAGUUUGAUCCUAAAUCAAUAUAUAGGCACUGGAAUUAAUUAAAUCCCCAGGGUAAGCAUUUCUAAGGAAGAUUUUAGGAAGAACUCUCUGAGAAAGCCUGAGAUUGUUGGGAUGAGUUGUCAAGUUGUACUGUAGAAUGUUGGAAUUCAGAGCAAAAUAAAAGAGAGAAGCUCAAUAACACGAAGUCCUUUGCAGGAAUCCGGAAGGGAGAAUAUUUACUCCAAAUUGGAUCUCUAGACUAAUACAAACAAAACAAAAAUUCAACUGGAAGUCCUUUGGGGGCUUGCAUGAAGAGCAGUGGAAAAAUCUAACAUUAUUACAAGCUGAGAUUGUAAUUUCCUCCUACCAUAAUAGCUUAUGUUUUAUACAGUGCUUUCAUUUCAUUUGCAAAAUAGCUUGGUAAAGCAAAGGCAAAUAUGAUCAUUAUUAUUAUUGUUGUUAUUAUUCCCAUAUCACAGAUCAGCAAACUGAGGCCCAGAGACCUGGCAAGAUUGGCCUGCAGUUACAGAACUAGCAAGGGGAAGAUUUAUGUGUAGAUCUUUAGAACUUGAUACCACGUUCAGUUCUGUACACUUUGUCAAUGAAUUAGUAGUAGUUAAAGUUUUCCUCGAGCCAGGGAUUUAGCUCAGUGGUUCCACUUGCUGAUUCCACCGCCUGCCUCGACAGUGCAAGGUCUCAAGUUCGAUCCCAGGUACCAAAAAAAAAAAAAAAAAAAAAAGUUUUCCUCUUAGAGGUAUAGGAUCUGAGUUGGGGAAGGGGUUGAGUGGCAUUUGUGGUUUUGGGGAAUGUGAUGAUGUUGAUAAUAACUAUAGUAAUGAAUACCAUUCAUUUAGCAAUGUCUCAGUUACUGUACGUUAUGUUAUGCUACUGUAAUGAAAGACUCCAAAAAUUUCAAUCACUUAACACAACAAAGGCAUAUUUCUUGCUCACUUGACAUGUCCCCUGGCUAUGUGUCCAUAAUGCCUGGGCAGUGGACUCCACUCGUUGUAGUUAUUUGGGGACUCAGGCUAAUAGAACAGCCACCAGCUCUAAUAUGUGUGUCAUCCAGCAUGCUAGAAGUAUGGAGACCUCUAGAUGGUCUUGUACCAACAAUAAAAUGCUCCAUCCUGGAUGUGACACAUCACUUCUGCUUUCAACUCAUUGUCCAAAAUUAGUCACAUGGGCUCACUCAGCCUUGAGGAGCUAAGAAGUACAUGGAAAGAAGAGAGCCAGAAAUAUUUGGCAAAAGCAUUAAUGACUGCCAUAGACACCAAUAAAGAAGUAGUUCAUCUGAUUGUACAGCAAACCUGUAAGGUAUCAAAGAGAGCUAACAGUUAUUGAUUGUUUACCAUGUGCCUUGCGCCUAGAAGAGCACAUUUAACUGCAUGAUAACCCCAUCAAGUAGAUACUGUAAUUCUUUCAAUUACAUCUCAUUUUCAUCUAAUUACAGAUGAAAAACCAGAUUCACAGAGGUAAAGUUACCUGCCCAAGGUCACAAAGCUAGAAAAAUGGUAGAGCUAGUGUUUGAAUCUGUACCAUCUUGGCUGCAAAGCCCACAUUAUAAUAACCCCAUUAAUAGAUGAGAAAUCUGAGGUCCAGAGAAGCAAACCAACAUGCCCAAGGUCACACAGCCGAGAAGCAGAAAGCUCCGCCUUUUGCCUUACAUUCUCCCAUGUAAUGUUGGGAGACUUCCUUUUUUAGUUUCUAUGGGUGAUUGCCAGCUGUCCCUCCCCAACUCUUUCCUAGGCAGGCCAAUCCCAACCCUUGGCCUUCUGUGUCCCUGAAGUAAGCACUGGUUUAUUACACAAGUCAGCUUGCAUGGGAUCAAAAUGCUAAAUUCCCAGGACUUUUCAAACCACUGAUAAACACAGACAUUAUUAAAAAUUAAAUCACAAAAACUUACCAUGGUUACACACAGGAAUCCCCCCUUAUCCUCAGGGGAUACAUCUCAAACCCCCCAGUGGAUGCCUGAAACCUCAGUAUUAAACCCUGUGUACACUGUUUUUUCCCUGUGCAUACAUGUCUGUGAUCAAAUUUAAUUUAUAAAUUAGGCAAAGUAAGAGAUUAACAACAACAAUAAUAAAAUAGAACCAUUUUAUAAUUGUUCCAACAACAAUUGGUAUAAGUUAUGAGAAUGUUAUCUCUCUGUGUCUUGCAAUAUCUCACUGCCCCCCCCCCCCCGUGACAUGUGAGACCUUAUGGUGCCUGCUUAAUGUGAACGAUGGUGUGGACAUUGUAAUGUAUUGUUGGACGACUGCCUAUGGGUUACCUGAACAUAAGUACCGAGAUUCUGUGACAGUGGAUGGGAUAAUUGAGAUGGCUACUAAAUAACCAGCAGGUGAGUAACUGGACACUGAAAAACACAUGAUUCACUUUGUGGUUGGGACAGAGCAGGACUGGGAGAGAUUUCAUCUUGCUACUCAGAAUACGGCACAAUUUAAAACUUCUGAAUAAUUUAUUCUGGAAUUUCCAUUUAAUAUUUUUGGACUGUAGUUGAUUAUAGUUAACUCAAACCAUGGAAGGUUAAACCAUAGGUACGUGGAGGCUUGCUGUAGGUAUUUUUUACAUUAUGGCCUCUGUUGCCGCUACCCAUCCCUGCCAUGGCUGUACAAAAGCAGCCUUAGACGAUACCUAAAGACAUGAACAUGGCUGAGUUCCAGUAAAACUUUAUUUACAAAAUAGGAUGAACUAAAUUUGGCGCAUGGAUCAUAGUUUGCCAACCCCCAUCUAUGGUAUCUCUUUGAACAGUAGCCAUGACAGGUUGAGUGGGCCUGUUGAGUAUCCUUCCAACCCCUAAAAUUCUUUAACAAGUUUUAGCUAUUUUUAUGGAGCUGAUAGGCAAAAAUGAUGAUGUGAGCAUUGAUAGACUAGAAGUUCUUUGAAAGGGAGAAUCUUUUUGUCUUGUCCUCCUGGCAUAGUACCUGACCCUUGGGUAUUAUUUAACAGAUAUUUGUUGGGUGAAUAAAUUAAUAAAAUGAAUAACAGUUACUAUUUUUGAAAAAGUUGUAUUAUGGAGAAUCUCAAAGGUACACAGAAAGUGAAUAGAGCAGAGAGUCCAUCUCCAAGGCCCAGCUCCAACACUGCACUGACAUUGCUUAUUGGCCUGUGCUCAGUUCAUUCUGUUAGGACAGUGACUCUGGCAUCCAGUACAUGCCAGCGUGCCCUGGUGCUGUGCACAGGCGAGGGCUCAGUAGGUGCUCAGUACCUAUGCGGGGGAAAUGAAAGAAUGAGUGAAGGACAAGCUAGUGUGCUUGGAUCUGACCUAUAAGACUUCUAGAGGGUUUUAGGGUCUUAUUGCAUAGAUUUGGGAAAAAUGUGGGUAAAAUCAGUUCUUACUAUUUAAACCACAGCGUUGGACAUCAGAAUUCCUGAGAACCUUCGUAAUCGUGUUGGUUCCCAGCUCUGCUCUGAGGAGUGGGGCUGCUGAGAAAAUGGUGUUUGGCAAGCCCAGCAGGCUCCUGCAGGUAAAGGAAGAUCCAGUGCCUGGGGUUUUAAAGGAUGCCCUGGGUCCUGCACUCUUUGACACUUUCUCUCCAGAGUCCUGGUGAGUAAGGAAGAGAAUGACCACACACCCAAGAUCUGGUCUAAUUCGGGCUCUUUAAAGUAACCAGGAUAUUGGAAUGAGUUUAGAGAAAAUAUGUCAGGUCUGCUCUGAUUUGCAAUUUGAGAUAAAUGUAGGAAACGUGUGUUUGCUUCUCAUAAGAGGAUUAUGUUGCCUUGCAAGUUGGGUCAUUGUCACUUUUGAUUUUAGAACACUUACUUGUGCCUCCAGUAAUGAACAAAAACCAAACCACACUGAGACCAGCCCAGGAGGUCCUGCUGUUGCAGAGUCCAAAGUAUUCUUGUUUCCACUGAAUUCCUAUUUCUGAAUUCCAGCUUGUCACACACCAGACAUUUAAGGGCCCUGCACUGGGCUAUAUCAACACUGGUGGUUUAUUUCGGAUAUAAACUAAUCUUUUUAAAAUUAUUAUUUUUAAAAACUCCUAACUUGGUGUCUUGUACUUUGGAGUGAAUUGUUCUUUGCCAUAUUGAUUUGGUGUGUAAUAUUAGACCUUGCUCUCGUAAUCAUUAUCCAUCCCCCAUUCAUCCUCAACUGGGAUAGCAGUGAACUCAGUCAAAUUUUGGAUUCAUUAAAAAUGAUCAUGGAGCUUAAACUGGGAGCCAGGUGAUGAAAUAAACAUAUUUCCUAUGAAUAGCACCCUGUUUUACUUUAUCUACUAAUUAACCUGAUAAGAGAGGCCAGUUUUAAGGUAAUUUUUCCAAUUCAAAAAUGACUAUAUAUACAUUAUAAGCCACAGAUGUCCCUCUGGGUGUGAACUGGGCAGUGUUUGAGUGGAGUAACAUUUGGAGUGAGGUCUUCCCAAACCCUUAGGCUUCCCCAGGGUUUGACUAGCCAAGAACUCCUUCCACUGAUACCUAAAAUGCAGGCACUAUUCUAAGUGCUCUCUGUACCUUGGAAACAAAUCACUCCUAGCAGGAUAAGUCCCAAUUCUAUAGCUAAUAUCGAAACACCAUCCUGGGUCUCCCAUGCAUUCCCCCUGCUAGAGUUUCUGGUUGGACUGGCUGAGUGCUCUGUGGUCUAAAUAUAGCCAUUUAAAAAGAAGAUCACAGGCCCAUCCACUUGGGACUGCUAAAAAGCCUUUCACGAUAACUCUUGAAAGCCCGAUGCCUUUAAUCCUUAACUUUAAUUUAAAAUAGAGAAAUCUUCUCAACUCAUAUUCCAUCUCCACAUUCUCUCCCCUGGCCUUGGUCCACCACGACACAUCUUUUAAUUUGCCCCCACCCCACCUUUUCAUGAUGGAAGAAUAAGAGUCUUUAUAAGUAGCUGCUGGAACAAGGACGGACUAAGCUGUUUUAAUUUCUUGCAAGGAUGUUUUUAUAGAAGAAAAUCAAGUCAACACUCGAGAGUAUACACGGCCCUUUACAGAGAUGGGGAGAAUUAAUCAGGCCAGAAAGUUCGGAAUAUAAAAGGGGAGGGCUGGGUGGAAGGAUGUUUCAUCAAACCCACUGCUCUGGGAGCCGCAGAGAUGAAAGGAUUUCCCUCUCCCAGCGCCUUAAAUAUUGGCAGGCAGCGGGUCAAGAUGUUUUCUUUUGUUGUUAUGGAAAGCCAUACAGAUAAUUAAUGCUGUUGAAAGAAGAUUGUUCUGUUGGCGUCUGCAAGGCUGGCCCCCCAGUCUGGGAUCUUCUGGGAAGAAACUAGUCAGGGAAAAAAGUUAUGCACCCAGGGAAAUCCUGCCAAUUUACAGGAGCAAUAAAUAACGCCCGAGCAAAUAGCCUCAGGCCAGGGCCUUGUGGCUGCAGACAUUUGAUAUGUGGACACAAGUCUGUCCGUGCAGUGAACUUUAAAUGGAGCAGGGGACCCACCUCCCCACCCCGCCCUGCCCCACCCUGUCACAGGCAGCUGCUUUUGAACAAGAAUUACUAAGGGAAGUUGUAACAGAAGCCCAGGAAGGAUAUGCAUUGGCUUUGAUAUUUGCAGUUCUUAUUUCUUCCUAGAUAGACAGGCUCUUGCUCUCAUUUAAUGGCAGGAAAUGUUUGAUCCCAUCCUUAGAUAUCAGAUGUAGCCAUGGGGGAGGAGUCCUGGCCAGGCCUGCGGGGCCCUUGGGAGUCAUUUGUGCCUCCGGCCAGUCCCAUCCUGAAGGAACAGGAAUGCACUGAGGAGAUGCAGUAAACCCCAAGGCAUACGACAGAAGGCUUGCUUCCUGCGGGUCCGGUCCUUUGUACUUUGUGGACAUUAGUCACUUAGGCCUACAGUUGGUUGCACUGUACCAGUCAGGAAACACAGGUGUGAGCUAACACAGCUAGCAAAUGUUGGAACUGGGAUUCGAACCCAUGCAGUCUGGCUCCAGAAGUGACACUUUUCUAAAAAAGUUGAGGUGAAAUUCACAUAACAUAAAGUUUUCAUAACAUAACAUUUUAUAAGUGAAAAAUCUAGUGGCAUUUAGUGACGUUCAUGAUUUUGUGCACUCAUCACCUCCAGCUAGUUCCAAAAACAUUUUCAUUUCCUGCCCAUUAAAUUUCCCAAAAGGAAACCUAAUGCCCAUCAGCAGUUGUUCUCCAUAGGCCAUUUGCCUGUCCCUGGCAAGCACCAGUCUGUGAUCUGUCAUGGUGGCUUUACCUGUUCUAGACAUUUCCUAUAUACAGAAUUAUGCAGCAUUUGACCUUUUGUGCCUGGCAUCUUUCACCUAACAGUUUUCAAGGUCCAUGAAUGUUGUAGCAUAUGUCGGUACCUCAUUCCUUUUUAUGGCUAAUUAAUAUUCUGUCACAUAGAUGUAUCACAUUUUAUCCCUCCACCUGUUGCUGGUAUUUGGAUUGUUUCUUCCAUUUGGCCAUUGUGAAUAGUGCUGCUGUGGACAUGCAGGUACAAGUAUUUGUUUUCAAUUCCUUGAGGUAUAUACCUAAGUGUGGAAUUGGUGUGUUGUGUGAUAAUUCUGUACUUAACUUUUUGAGGAACCACAAGACUGUUGAGGGCUGACAAUCUUAACUACUAUACUGUACUGAAGCUAAAUCCUCCAGGACUGGGUUGUUUUAGAAGGAAGCUACUGUGGCUGCAUCUUACAGGCACUUCUGACUUUUUUCUUGAGUGCAUGGAAAAUUCAUUCAUUCAACAUAUUUUGAGCACUAGCUUUGCAGCAGAUGUUGUACCAGAUGCUGGGGGUACAUUGUUGAUCACAUUCAUUAUCCCUACAUUUAGGGCUCACUGUCUAGUGGGGGAAGGGACAUGUGAAACAGAAACUACAAACUAAAAUUCCUGCAGGUGCCCAGGGGUAGAAUUAGUGAGGGAGGCAGAGCAGAAGCAAGACUACAGGGUGUGGUAGAGUCUGUGGCUAAGAAGAGAAUGGAUGCUCAGGUUAAAGGCUCUGAUUGAUAAUUGCUGGGCAAGAAUCCAGCCAUGGUGUGGUCAGAUCUUCCUCUUUUUUCUCUCUCUCUUAAAGAAACUGGUAAUUUGGAUCUUUGUAUCAAAUCUCUGAUAUUUAAGAUCUCAAACUAAACAGAACAUGUCUAAGAGGCCAAAUGGGCUACCAGGUUAUAAACUAUAUUAAGGUUCUCCAGAGAAACAGAAUGAACAGGAUAUACUGCAGAUACACGUGUCAGUCAGCAGCAGACCAGAUUUGUAACAGUGGUCCCAUAAAAGAACUUAAGGUUUUCUAUUGCCUAGUAUUUUUGCUGUACCUUUUCUGUUUAAAUAUGUGUAGAUAUGCAAAUAUUUACUGUUGUAUUGUGAUUGCUUACAGUACUCAGAACAAUAACAUACUGUAAUGUUUGUAGCCUCGGAGCUGUAGGCUGUACCAUAUAGACUUUGUGUAGUAGGCAUCUAGAUUUGUGUAAGUACACUAUGGUGUUUGCGUGAAAUCACCUGUCUACACAUUUCUCCGAACAUAUCCUGGUUAUCAAGCAAUGCAUGAAUCUGUGAGAGAGAGAGAGAGAGAGAGAGAGAGAGAGAGAGAGAGAGAGAGAGAGAGAGAUCUUAAGGCACUGGCUCCUGCGAUGGGGAAGCUGAGGAAUCCCAAUAUCUGAGUGGGAGUGCUGCAGCCUUAGGAGACUUGAUCUGAAAGCCAGCAGCUUGAGACUUAGGAAGAGCUAGUGUUUCAAUUCAAGCCCAAAGGGAGAAAGAGACUGCUGUCCUAGCUCUUACUGGGGGAAAGAUCAUGCUUUUUGUUCUACGGAGGCCUUCCGCUGAGGGGAAGAGGCCCACCCGUGUUAGGAAGCCCCUCUGCCCUAUUCCGUCUGCCUGUUCAAAUGCUGCUGUCAUCUAGCGCCACUGUCACAGACGCUUCCAGGGUGUGUCACCAGACGCCCGGGCACCUCAGCCCAGUCAGACUGACACAUAAAGUUAACCGUCACAAGUCCAGCCUUUGUAAACUUAGCACCCAUAGGCCUCUCAUUAAUCAUACUUAAUAAUAUCCAGAUGAAGACACUCACAAAGUCUUAAUCCUGCCUGACAUGAUACAACUACCCUGUGUACAAUCAAACAUACACCAGUCCCUCCCCCAGACGAGGAAGAGUCACCUUGAGUGAUGGUGACUCUUCCUUAGCAUCCCAUAACUUAAAUAAUUCAGUGUAAGUCAGUAAUACUUAAAUAUCAUAAUAUAAAUCAGUACAUCUUAUGUUACUUAAUAAGAGAACAAGAUAAGGGAACUUAAUACAGGAACAAGAGGAAAGAAAAAGAUAUUUGCUUUAUAGUAUUGAGAUAUACACACACAAAUAUAUUUAUAACAAAAUAAAGAGAUACCCAUAAUGGUUGCGGUCCUUGGUUCUCUAACUGGCCGCAUGGUUAAAUUGUAGCUAGGCAUGAUGGCACAUGUUUGAAAUCUCAGUACUCAGGAGGCUUAGGCAGGAAGAUUGUGAAUUUGAGAACAGCCUGGGGUUCAUAGUGAGUUCAGGGAGAGCCUGGAUUACGUUGUGAGACCUUGUCCCCCCAAAAGAAAAAGAAAUCUAAAUUAUGACAUAACACUGGAGAGCUGAUAGACUUCUGAGGAAAGUCAGUGAAGAUAUAUUGCUGGCAUUGCCAGCUGAAAGCAGAUUGCCUCUGGUGGGCCUUGUGGACAAGGGUGGAGACAAAGGUAUCUGCCAGAUCAGUAGCUGUACACCAGGUACCAGGGAAUGUGUUAUUCUGCUCAAGCAGUGAAACCACAUCUGGUACAGUAGCUGCAGUUGAAGUCACCACGUGGUUAAACUUACAGUAAUCCAGUGUCAUUCCCUGAGAUCCAUAGAUCUCCUGUACUGGCCAUAUAAGUGAGUUGAGUGGGGGUGUGGAAUGAUCCCCACCCCUGUGUCUUUUCUGUCCUUGCUGAUAGCAGUGAGCUCAGCAGUCCAUCUAGGAAUACGACAUUGCUUCUGGCUUACAAUUUCCUAGGUAGAAGCAGAUCUAGUCACUUCUAGUGCCAUUUCCCACCAUUACAGCCCUUACUCCACAGGUCAGAGAACGCUGGGAUGCUGCCAUUUACUGUUCCAGUUAUGCAUUCUAGAACUGGGGAAAUCGCCACAGAUGAGUUUGGGAACCCACCAGCUCCGCUGUGAGAUGAACCUGAGCAAAAGCUCCAUUGAUCAUCUGAACUGCAUAAGCCCCUGUGCUGACCGGCGGCUCCCAGGGACAUUUGGGGUCUCCUGGGGCCAGAGUCAGUUUAGAACUAGUGUUCAGUAUUGCUCCCAAAUGCUGGUCAUUUCCUUUGUCCCAGUGCACAGUCAUCCUGGAAAAAGGCCUAAGUCCCUUUGGGAAAGUUUGGGGAAAGAUCAACAGUACAAACUUUUGGCAGUAUCCCGGAUCCUUUCUCUAGGGGACCCAGCCUCCUAGCUGGGUCAGGAGGUUCUAAGUCUAUAAACUGGCUAAAGUUUGUGAAUGGAUUGAAGGGGUGUGACUUUUUUUCAUGAUGCAGUUAGACUUCACUUGAUCUGGAACUUUCCCAUUUAGGCUUCUUCUGUGUUUCACUUCUGGGAACACCACGAUUAAUUAACUGAUACCAUGGGUCUGUGAGACCCUGACCAUCCCGACUGCUGCUUUGGCUCUGCAGUCCAUUCCGAUGCCCACACCCGUGAUGGAGGGCCAUCAGUUGGCCCUCCCACCCUGGUGUCCAGUUACUCCCUCUGUUUAGGUUUCCCAGGUUAGUGCCCUUGGAUCCUGCUCUAAGGACCAGCCUACAGAGAAGCGUGGUCCUGAGCACCUCAAGGCUGCCAAGGCUCCCCUCUCCAAUUCACUUCUCACCAUACAGAUGAAUAUUGUGUCUUCUGGACCCUCCCAGUGUAAGUGAGUAGGUCUUUAAAAAUGACAAAUCCGUGCUAAUGUUUCAUCUCCCAAAACCUUUGAAUCCCUUCCUCUAGAUUAAACUGUAAUAGGUCUGGCAUUUCAAUUCACUGACUGUGGAUCACUUUUGGUCCAUGCUUCAGCCAACCAAGCAAACCCUCGGAGACCUUUUAACUCCCAGCUGCAACAUCAAAUGCAGAAUCUCAGCUUAGGGAUCUCAAAAUCCUGCCUCUUCCAAUUUUAUAUUCCUUCCACUUUAUCCCAUGUCUUCAUAUCCAUUCCCAUGAAUAUUCCCUAGAUUUCUGUCUAUAAAUUAGAAAACUCAAGUAGUUCUUUCAAAGAAUAGCAUGCCUCUACUCCUCAUGGGUCACACUUUGUACCUCAUCAUUUGGGAUCUGCUGAGACUUGAGUCUAGGUACAGGUAUAGAAGCAAAGGGUGGGGUGGGUCCUGAAGAGACUGAGCAUUUUCUUGCUUGGCAGCUAGCUACCUCAGGGGAGACCAAAUGGUUUCUUCAAGAAACGUAAGUUGAUUCUCAUUGGAGGGUGGAGAGGCAGCUCCCACAGAGGAUAGGGGAACUCUUCCCCUGACAAAGAAGUCUUGUCAGAAUCUAGGGGCUCAGUGUGCCCAGCUUCAGUGUCUUCCCACAUGUCCCAACUUUCAGAUCCCUUUUCCUGGUCAGUGCCCUCACUGUUAACAGCAGAUACCCUACAAGGACAGGAGUUGAACUUGUGUUGUAAUUUAGCCAGUGGUGGGAUGAGAUUCUGGGUUUGAUUUGCAGCACUCUCAGCCCCUCAGCCACCGGAGAAAGGGGUCUCCUUCGGGUCACAUGUGGAAGCUUUCAGGUUGUUUAUGUGGCACUCGAGUGGGAGGUUCAUAUCACUGAACUUGUCCUUUCCGUAUUCUGUCCAGAAGAAGCAUUAGGAGCUGCCAGCCAAUCUCACUGUAUUCAUUAGUUUGCCCAAAGUGUUCCAAAGUACUGUAUCACCCAGAUCCUUGCUCCUUAUGAGUGAUUGACUAGGAGGAUGAGAGGAGAUGUUUUGUGUGUCUCUAUUGCCAGAUCAUACCACAGUGUUUGUAUUCCCUUCAUUACUUCGAAUAGAGUCAUGAGUGUCUUUAAAUCUAAUCAGAUUAAAAUUCCAACCCCAGAAACCUUCAAAGCAAUUCAAAAAAGUCCAUCUUCAGCUAGUCAUGGUAGUAUAGGCCUGUAAUCCCAGCACUUGGGAGGCUGAGGCAGAAGGAUUGCCCAGAGUUUGAGACUAGCCCUAAAAAAUGAGUUCAAGGCUAGCUUGGAAUACAUAGUGAGACCCUGUCUCAAGAAAAAAAUAAAAUCCAUCUUUAAUAUUACAUUCCUCUAGGACCACUCCUGCUGCAAAAAUCUGUAUUAGCCAGGGUUCUCCAGAGACAUAGAACCAAAGGGAUAUAUACAUGCAUAUAUAUCUUGUUUAGCUACUUUAUGUAUCUACAAGCUGAUACUAUAAUUAAAUGAAAUGUGAACCAGAGCAGUCUGAUAGAGGCAAGAAGGAGAUAUACAGGGCGACCAACUAAAUCCUGCCUGGGGAAGUCAGGGGAGGCUCUCAUCAGGGAGGCAGCACUUGAGGUGUGUUGUGAAGGAUAAAGAAGAAUGAGCCAGGAAAAGCAUGUAGGAAAGGAAGUCCAGGUAGACGGGUCCAUAUAUGCUUGGAUUCCCACACAUAGUCAGUGUGACCUAAGCUUGGGGUAUGUGAGGGACAUGACAAGGACAUAUGCCUGGGGAGUGGGGCAAGGCAUGCUUCCCUGAGGGCUAUAGCAGCUACCCAGGUCUUUGAGCAGGAGUGGCUGGCUUCCAUUGUAUACUAGACUGGCUGCUCUGGGGGCUCUGUUUAGCACCUACUGCAUACCAGGCCAGAUAAUAAGACCCUGAACAACGGAAAAGUGAAUGUGCAGUCUUUCCACAGUGAUAAGUGCUCAGAGGAAUAAGGAGCAGUCAGGGGAGUCAAGGGUGUACUGGGGAGUGUGAGUGUGCAGCGUAUGGAGUGAACAUAGUCUUGAGUACUAUACUUCCCCUCAGCAGGACUUGAAGGGGAAAGUGGGAGAAAGUCCAAGAUUUGGCCUGAGCUCUCAGAAGGAUAGAGCUGCCUUUUCGUGAGAUGGGGGUACCUAGGAGAGGAGUAGGGAUCUGGAGUGGGGCAGGGGCUCAGCCUUGGGCUGGGGAGUUUGGGGAGAGCUCUGACCUCACCAAACCUGAUGACAGCCGAGGUCUCCUGGUGGCCCAGCAGGCUCCAGGGAUCAGAGAGGGUUUCUCUCCAAUGAUAAAAUGACCAGAAUAUUUAUCAAGUCCUCCAUGCAUGCAGGGCACUGUGCUGAGCUUUGCCUGCAUCAUCUCAUUUAAUGCUUGCAGGUGAGUGUGGAAGGCUCAGAGAAUUUGUGAGACUUGCCCAAGAUUCCCCAGCAGGUAAGCUGGCAGCGGGGAUUUGAUCUCUUAGACCAGGCUUUAGGAUCUUCCUGCUUACUUGUCAGGAAUUCUUGUCUCCCAGUACUAGAAGGGCCAACACCUUUGAAGUUAGUGAGGGAGUGUAGUCCCAGAAAGGUCUCACUCUGAAAACUCUCAGGUGGACGAAGCAGGGCCAAGAUUUGGUCCAAGAGUCCUCAGAUUAAAGGGCAGCAGGGGCUGCUCGGGGCCAGGUGAGAGACAUGCUGGUAGUCUUGCUACCCUCCUCCGCUGACAUUACUGUUACUAGGAUCUCAUUGGGUUGAAGUCAGCUGUGGGGGUUGAGGAGCCGGAAGGGAAGAGGCCAGAACAUGACUAGCAGCUGUCACAGGUGAUAGGACUUUAAAAACCUUUAUUAUGGAAAAUCCUUGGCAUUUUAGAAAUACAAUAAAAUAAGUCCCUUUGUCCUAAUCACCCAGCACCAACUCUUGUCACCAUCCUGCAGUUGUUUAUCCAACUGCUCCUCCACUUUCUUUCCUUUCUUCCUAGAAUAUUUGGAAGAAAAUCUCAGAGAUGUUGUUUCAUCGUAGAUGCUGGUGGGAUUUUGAGUAAUCAUUAUUUUGAUUCAUCUGGGUGUGUAUAUCAAGAUUUGUAUUUCUAUUUUUGUUUGUUUGACUGUUAAAAUCACUGCACUUUUUAGGUUCCCAAGCUUUAGACACUUGCAUUUCUUCAUCUGUAAAAUGGGGUGCCUGCAGAACCCCUCUCUGAGCUCAUUUCUGCAAGUGCUGAUGACAGGGUCUGCCACCACAUAUUUUUAUUAUUUUGUUAUUGUGGUAUAAUUUUUGAAGUGGAGAUCCUGCCCCUCAAAUCCCUGGGAUCAGGCCUCACUAAGAGGGCAUUUGGGGUUCCUGGAUUCCAGACUGGAACUUUCCAGAGCUUGUGUGCCAGGCUCAGACUUACCAACCCCUGACUUCGCAGUGAGUGUGGCAGGAUCCACAGGACUUGGGUGAAGCUCAGCUGUGUGCUCCCAGGCCAGCAGACCCUGGGCAGAAACCCAACCUCUCCAAGCCUCAGUUUCCACCUCUGUAAGUCAGAGUUGUCAUGGCACCUACUGGUGCAAUGAGCUAAUGCAAAUAAAGGUGCAGUACAGUGCUUGGCAUACAGUGAGUGCCCAGUAAUUGUUCUCUGGCAACUUUCCUCCAGAAUUUGCUUAGAAAUGAGCACAGGGAAGGAGGUAUUGAGCCAUUACCCCCAUGCCCCUAACUGUGGCCACAGGACAGUAGAACCAGCUCUGGCAAUGACAGUCCAGGUCACUUGGGUCCAGCCCUGCUACGAGGCCUUAGCUGAAUGUGUCAACCUCCCUGGGCACGUGGAAAGGGACUGUGUGGGCCAGCUGUGCCAGAGGCUGCAGCCUGGAAUGGUGCAGAGGUGGGGGCUGCAGCUGCCAGGACCCCUGCAGCCCUCCCAUGGACCCCUCCCUCAGAGCAGUGGCCUCUGCCAGGCCGGCCGCCAGGGGGGCUUGGCAUGAGGACCAGCAGAUGCCAGUCUCGCUCCACGCACAGAUGUAUCUGCCAGUUUCUGAUGGGGAGAAGCGAUCUGGGAGUCGCUCACUUCAUUGAUAAUUAAAUUCAAAUUAAGAGAGAUUUGCAUUUAUCAAAUGCCUGUUUGACAAGGUGUCACUGUUCCCAUCCAGUACCCAGGCGCUGGGGAGCCAGCAAGGGGAGGUGCAGCUAUGUGGGGGUAGGGGUAGGGGGUGGAGAUGGAGAAGGGAGAGCUUCAGAGACACUGCUGUCAGCCCUUCAUUACUGCAGGGCCAUUAUGCGGUGGUAAAUUGAAUGAAAUGCUGUGUGACCUCCAUCAGGCUGCUGAACCUGUCUGAGCCUCAGUUUCCUCACAGCAGCCCCCAGGCUCUCCCUUGGAGAAAACAGAUGGCUACCAUUGGCCACAGGUAAGGUGAGGCAUUCGCAUAUCUAUCACCCCUCUGGGCUGUAUGCUGGGGAGUCUCUGUGGACAUUGUGGUGACCCACAAGAUCCCUGCACAUGCAGCACUCCUGCCCCCCAGCUGCUGUGAGGUGACUGUCUCCUUCUGCAGGGACUCUCAAGGUGUUUUGUCCCACUCAACGCUGGGGCAGCCUAUCUGGCUGGUUCAGUACAGGAGUGGAAGCCGCAUCUCCUUCCCCAAAGGCAGGACACCUGGUGGAUGGCCCCUGAGGAGCUGGUCUGUGGGAGCUCAUCCCUGCCUCACCUGCUGCCGCUCCCUCAUGCUGUCCCCUGAGGCACAUCUCCCCCGCCCCAGCCCCUGUGCCAGAGUCCCCACCUCAGGUUCCACCUGACCCAAGACGGGAUCCCACCUGGUCCCAGGGCUGUCCCUGAUCGCUGCUGGAGCUCCAGCUGUUUUUAGCCUCCCAGCCUCAGUGUCCUCACGGGGAGCACAGGCACAAGAUAGCUUCACCCUCCUAGGCGGUUUAGAAGUAUCAAGGGAGGUUGUGGGUGUGGCAUUCCUUCUUCCAGGCUUCGAAGUCUGGUGUAGCUGAGGGCCAUCUCCGGAGACAAGAGGGAUCCUGCCUGCCCCCCUGGUCCUGUGUGCUUGGAGGGAGGAGAAUGGAGGGGGCUUGAGGGAAGAAAGGAGAGGGAGUGUGAAGGGUACUUAUUCUCACUCGAAGGGCAGGUUGGGCAGAGCAAAUGGCAUUUGUGGGCAGUGGUCCAAGAAAGGGGCUUAAGUUCGGAAAUGAUGGUGGCCGAGCUGGUAGCUCCUGAAAUUGUGAACUACAGAGCCUUCAGCCUCACAGGAGCUUGGCCAAGGCAGUGCAGUUUCUAGCUCUUUCCGAUCCAGCCUCCUUUCAGACCCAGCUCAGUGUGUCCUCCCUUUGGAAGGCUUUUGUAUCACAGCAGGCAAGACCCAGCAGGAGAAGGUCUACUAUACACAGUGGACACACAAAGGGAUGUUGUGUGCACUUCACAAGGCCCCUUCAUUCCUCCCACAGGGCUGAGCUUCCCAAGGUCAUUUCAAAUAGGGUAAGAUUUGAGAAGAACAAUUUUGCUGCCAAGAAUCUACCCAUUUUGUGAAAGGUGGUAGAACCUGCCUUCACUCUGCUGAAGGGUCAUUCAUAAUUAUAGAUCCAGAUGUGAAAAUGAGAUCUAGGUUUAGAUCCCAGCUCUACCUUGAACUAGAUGUAUGGUCUUGGGUAAACCACUGAACCUCUUAGAGCUCUACUUUCUUGUCUGUAAAAUGGGGAUUAUAAAUGGGGUUGGUUGGGAGGAGCAGUGAGGGGAACACAGAGCCUGACCCACAGUGUAAAUGUCAGUGUUUGCACUUUCAGUUACUCCUCCCUUAUGUUUUCUGCCUGUUCUGGUUCCGCUUGAUCCCUCACUCUGUUCCUUAAAGGCAUCUUUUCCAGUGCUGAGGCGUUCAGUGUCAGCUGUGCUGGAAAAGUAGAGGCAGACGGGGCUGAGCUGGAACCUCAUGCAGCAACUUUCCAGGGAAAGGUUGUAGAGGGGCCCCAGGCCUGGGCAGGGGAUCAGAGGCACCAGGCCGGGCGUUGCAUGGGGGACAGUUGACAAGUCUCACCUUUUCAUUGAUGCCACACAUGGCAGUGGCAGCAAAGUAGAUUUUGGAAUUUCACCAAGGAUUUCUCUUUAUGAGUUACAGCUCUGCCUGUCAAACCAAGAACUACUCCUUUUUUGUAGUGCUAAAGAUCGAACCCAGGGCCUUGCACACAGAGAACCCUCAUUGGAUACCGAAAUAUCCAUAUGGAAGGUAAUUUUAUUUUCCCAGCCCCAGCAAAGGCAGGACUUCAGAAGCAGUCAGCUUCCAGCUUCCUGACCAGAUGUAUCCUCCUCUUUUAUAUUAGUAAGUUUCUUCCAGUAGAUGUUCUGCAUUUAUACACAAGGCAGGGAAAAAACAGCAGCUAAAUAUAGCCUGCACCAGUGAGCUGUGGUGGUCUGAAGAUAGGGAGUGAGGAGGGUGGGUUUGGGCUUUUGUGCAGGCUCAGAAUAGGGAGAAUCUGUGGGCCCCUAUCAGACCCUGGUUGAGGCACAAAAGCAGCAGAGGGUCCUAAUGUGACCUCAAAAGCUCUGUGACCUUUGGCAGUUUAUACCACCUCUCGGAGCCUCACUUUUCCCCUCUGUAAAGCAGCAUUGUCACUUUAUGAAGUUUCCAGUUUGACUUAUCCGCACUUCUGCUUUCUAUCAGGGGACAAUGCCUGAGAAUGAGCAAGGAGCCUCUGGUGACAUCUAACAGACUUGUUUCGCUGGUCUCAUUUUUUAGUAUCCUCCCAAAAGUUGACAGGAGACAGUACAUGAAGGGAAAUGUUUUUGGUUGUUGUUUUUUUUUUGGUACUGGGGAUUGAACUCAGGACCUUGCACUUGCAAGGCAGGCAGCGAAACCACUGAGCUAAAUCCCCGGGCCAGAAAUGUUCUUUAUUGACCACUAAACCUUGAUUCUUGAGCUCUUAGAAUUAAGAUUAUAAUUUAGUUCUACAUACAAAACAGACACACACUUCUUGGAGAAGUGUUUUGCCUUCUCUUCUUAAAAAGAGACAUUAUUUUGUGGUUGACAAAUCAGGUGCUCUGGGUACAGAUACCUGGGCCUGCCACGUGCUUGCUCAGUAUCUUGAAUAAACCCUUUUCCAAGUCUCAGUUUUCCCAUCUAUAAAAUGAGCAGGAUACUUUCUCCUUGGGCUAAAUGAGGUGACAAUAAGUUGAGUAUUCCCAUUCCACACAGUCCCAUGCUCAGCACCUAAAUAUUGGCUGCAGUGACCAUGAUGACUGCAGUGCCGCUUGGAAAGCCAUCCCUUGGGAGCAGGGUGGGGGUGGGAAGACAGAAUGUAGGCUGCGUGUCCUAGCGAGUCCUGCCGUGGAUUCACAAAUUUCCAUCAGAUUUCCAAAUGAGAAGGAUGCAGCUGAGAUAAGCCACAUGCAAAGUGCAGUCCCACAAUCCAAAAUAAAAGGGAUGUAUUUAUAUACAUGUGAGAGCACAUCUUGGUAUCUCAGAAACCAGGCAGAAUAUUGUAAAGCAAUGUACAAUGGCGUAAAAUAUCAUCCCAAUUUAAUCCAUCUAUCUAGGGUUCCAUCUAAUUACUAUACUAGAAAAGUCUUCAGACCAUGUAUUGAACAUUAUAAAUGGGAAUAAAAUGAUUCUGGUAAUGGCUUAAUAAAGCAGGUGAGGUAGCUCCGUCUGUCUGCCUGUAUCCUUGGACCAUGGCCAGAUUGAUUUGUCAGGGAAGGAAAAAAAAGAAGAAAUGGGUUUGUGUUGUUGCACUUUGGAGAUUGUCUCCAUUAGGGGCCUUUGAUUUUAUUCUUGUUUUUCCUUAUGAGAAGUGGUUAUCGGUUCCUUUUGUUAACAGCAAAAUAUGUAGAACUGAUGGAAAAACUGACAGCAGCCGUUUCAUAUUUUAUAAAGCCGCUCCCGGCUUGUAAUUUGCUGGUUGGGAUGAAUCGAGGAACCCUGAAACUCCUGGCAAAUUUGCAGCUGAUGACUGCAGUCUUGUCCGAGGGUGUGUAUAACUGCUGAAAUUUCGCUGCUCUGAGGAGCUGCAGCUCAGGGAGGUAAAAAUGAGCCCCAGGGUAAGAAAUUAUACAUCAGUCAUUUGAAGCCGGAGUUGUCCAAUCAGAAGAGAUCUGAGAUCUUUGUGCACGAAAUCACCUUUUCUCCUUGUGCCUAGAAAGCUGCUUGCUUUUGGGGGGAUCUCAGGCUUUCUGUACAGAUCAAACAAUGGCUUUCCCUUCUCGCCUCUCUUCAAAUGCUCAGUGUCUUUGUCUUCUGCCCUGAGCCUUCUGUCCCCAUUCCUUAAAAGCUGCCAUUGUCACUGAGACUUGACACAUCCCCAGCCUGAAUUUGCUCCUGGUUUGGGGACUGGCAUCCAGUGACCAGUGACAGGAAACCACACAACCCGUUGGUAUAUACCCUUCCCCGCUUCCAAGUGGCCACACCCUGAUGGAGGAGGGAAGAUCCCCCUUUUCCCCCCAAGUGCUUUGCAUGUUUCCAGCCCCAAACUCUAAUUUCUUCCUCAGACUAGACUAAUGUGGGUGUUGGAGGUUAAAUUCCAGCACAUUAAGGAGGUACCCACCUCUCCCAGAGCCCUGGUAUUCGCACCAGGCGUCAUCCAUGUUGUCAUGGCUACGAGGGCCCGGGACCCCAGAGACUGAAGCACAGAAUUAAUGGCAGUCCCGAGUAAAGGAUUCCUGUCUUGGCGAGGUUGAUGGAUUACAUUGAUGUACCAUUUGUCAUACUGUAAUUGUUCUGGCAAAUGUAAUACCCACUAGUAUAAACAUUGUACUGCUUUGCUAAUAAAACCCAAAAUAGGAAGAGAAAGGAUGAUACAGUGUUAUACUCACUUAAAGAGACAAUGCCUCCUUUCCAAGUUGGAGCUCACUUCUUUUUCUGGAGGCCUCACAUGCCCGAUUCCUUCUCCAUCGAUGUGCAUGCGUGUGCUAAACAGUUGUCUGCCACCUGCCCUCCCAGCACGCUUGGCGUGGGCCACCUGGGCUGAGCAUGCGGGUAUUUGAAGGAGGGGGGCCAGCAUUCGAGGUACUCAGUUUCCCGCUCCAUCAGCACUUCUGGUGAUUCCUCUUCUUGGGUGUAGUUGUUGCCCAAAACCUCUUUGCCUUUCUUGGUGUCUGCAAGGUUUUCCUUUGGAAUCUGUUUAUUUAAGUUGACUUCGAGUCUAAGUCUCUCCGCUGGUGGGCUGCUACCCCUCAAGAACACUUUUCUGACCCUGCAGACCCUCCUCUGAGCCCUCACCUCACUCAAGCCCAUAUGUGUACUGUGCUCGGCUCCCUCCUGUUAGAUCAUGAGGUCCUGAAAGGCCAAGACCAACCACUAAAUGUCGCUAUCUCGUCCCUUCCCCACCCCAACCAGUGGUGCUGAGAACACUGUGUGGAACACAGGUGGUACUUAAUGAAUGCUCAGGGACUGACUGACUCAGUGGCUCCCCACUGACCACAAGAGGCUUAACCUGAAGCCUCGCUGGCCCAUGUCAGGAUUUCAGGACCCCAGAUGCCCACUUGCCUCCUCCACAGCCGAUGGUAAUACCUGCUUCUCCCUGGUGGUUCUGAGCUUCUCCAUUUUGUCUCUGCCCUGCCUUCAUCAAUGGUCUUCCCACUCAGGAGACUGCCCUUGCCCCAUGCCUUAACUGGUUAACUCCCAACACAAAUGUUACCUCUCCCAGAAACGCUCCCCAGCGCCCACACUGGGGGAGGGUGCCCCUUGGGCCCUCAGCAGCUCAGGCUUCCCUGUGGCAAGGAGCCCACGCACAGUGGGAGCACAGCAUCCUCCCCUGACUUUUGCCAAGAUACCUUUGGCCAUGUGUUCACCUGGAGCCCCACCCAGCUUGAAUUUCCUGUGUGCAUAGGAGAUCAGUGAGUGACCGAAUGCUUUUCACUGCCUCCACCCUCCUUGAGUUGGGCUCACCCAGCCAGGCAGCAGUGGGGUAGAACUGGGGCCCUGUCCACAGACCUUUAUCCAGACGGCCUGGGUGUGGGGAAAGUGGGCCAUCAGGAAGCUCGUGAUCUUGUCACUAGAUUGGGCUGCGAAGGAAUUGAGCUGGGCCCUCACCCUCUCCCCAGGGAGGCCUCUUUACCCAUCCCACUUUCCUGCCCCUGGGAUAAACAGGGCAGAGUCUUAUCUGGGAAGUUGGGGAAGGAUGAUAUGGUGGAGGCUCUGGAGGCAGCUUUGGCCUCCUUAAUCUCAUCAGCGUGAGCCUUUUGAGCCUGACUCUCCCAGGAAGUCUUUGAGCCAUCAGCAUGUAUCUGUUUGACCCCUGCCCUGACCACCUCCCCUCAGGCUAUGGGCAUGAUUGUGGAAGGGCCCACACAGGGUCCCUGAUCCUGUAUAAUGUUGUCCGGGAUCACUGGUGCCCACAUCUUAACAUGCUGGUCCCUUUUACUCUGUGCAAAACCCUCUACUCCAAGGGCCCAGCCAGCGGCCCUGGUGCCCUCUGAAGUUCUGCUCCUGUAGGGAAUGAAUUGGGCUACAAGCAACUGCAAGCCUGGUGAACUGCACCUUAAACUCAUAUGGGUGCAUUUAUUAUUUUGUUUAAUAUCUGUCUACUUAGAGCACUUUUAGGUUGACAGAAAAAUUGAGAGGAAACCAGAGUUCCCGUGAAUACUGGUUCAGGGUAUACGAAGUCUCCCCACCAUCUUCAGUCCGUACCAGAGGGCGACUGACCUUUGGUAUAGCUGAUGAACCUACAGUGACAGGUCAUUAUCACCAAGUCCACAGUUUGCACUAGGGUUCACUCUUGGGGUUGCAUAAUCUUUGGAUUUGGACAGAUGUUAAGUAAUGACGUGUCCACUGUGUAGUGUCAUACAGAGUGGUCUUGCCGCCCUAAAAACCCCGUGUUCUGCCUAUUCAUCUCUCUCUGACUCUCUCCUCCCAGACCCUUGUAAUAACCGAAUGCUUCACCAUAGCUUUUCCAUUUUCAGAACGUCUUACCAUUGGUGUCUUAGUCUGUUUUUUGUUGCUGUAACAAAAUAUCUGAGACCAGGAAAUGUAUAAGGAACUGGAGGCAAGGAAGUCCAAGAGCAUGGUAUUGGCACCUGGUGACGGCCUUAUUGCUUCAUUGAAGCAUAGCAGAGAGCAUGAGCAAGCAAGACAGAGCGGGUGUUCAAGGUUGGGUCUCUCUUCUUAUGAAGCCACUAAUGCUAUCAUGGGGGCCCCACUCUCCAGACCUCAUCUAAUCCUAAUUACUUCCAAAGGCCCCAUCUCCAAAUACUGUUACCAUAUGAAUCCAGGGUGGAGUUUCCAACACCUGAACUUCAGAGUGAUGCAUUCAAACCAUGCAGUUUAAAUCAUAGUGUGUAGCCUUCUCACCCUGCCUUUUUUUAUGUAGCAGUGGGCAGAGGUUCCUCAGCGACUAUUCAUGGCAUGUUAACUCAUUUCUUCCUUGUGUGGAAUAAUAUUCCGUUGCCCAGAUAUAUCCCCAUGCAUUUAUCCUCUGAGCUCCUGAAGAACAUUGUGGAUGUUUGUUUUUCUGACAUAGCAGAGUCAGAGGGAGGCCACCUUUGUCUUUUCAUUUCCCCUCUUGGCUUUUUCAACUUUGUAGCUCACUAUGUCUGUUCCUCCUCCAGGGCUCAUGUCUGCAAGCCAGGAAGGAAUGAGAUGGGAGAGCCAAAGGGGCAGAGAGGGAAGGUUUUCUCCUGGUAAGGAUUUUACCUCUCAGUUCAGGAAGGGAAGCCUCAUAGGGGACAUCACCUCAUUGUCCAGGACUGGCCACUCGUAGCUGCUGGGAUGGAGCUGUUAGAAGAUGGAGCUAUGGGCUAAGUCGUGUCCCUCCCGACAUCACAUGUGACAAUCUCGAGAUGUAUUCAAGUCUUUGGCAUCUCAGAGUGGGCCUGUAUUUGGAGUAGGGUCUUUAAAGGAGUAAUGAAGUUAAAAUGAGGUCAGUAGGGUAGGCCCUCAUCCAGUAUGACUGGUGUCCUAGUAAUCUGAGGAGAUCAGGACACAGACAUGCACUGAAGGAGGGCCAUGUGAGGACACAGCAGAUGUAAAUGUUCUGGAGGCAGAUGGUGGUGAUGGCUUAAUGACUGAACAUCACAGUUCUUGACACUUAAAAAUGGUUAAAAUCACAAGUUUUAUGUUGUGUGCAUUUUACCCCAAUAAAAGAAUUCUACCUUUAUUACUAUUGCUGCUGUACUUCUAGUAACAAUAUUAUUCUGCUAUUAAGUAAAGCAGCACUGUAUUCUUGACAUAAAUUAUCUCACCUAAUCCUCCUGCUGAUCCUAAGAAAAAGAUCCUGUGAAUAACUAGGGAAGGGCACAUACCUACAGUACUGAGCACUACUGAGGCUCAGAAAGGUUAAAUCAUUUGUCCAAAGUCACACAGCUUGCAAGCAGCUCAACUGGGCCUUAAACACAGGGUGUCUGGGUCCCAGACCUGUUCUCUCACCCACACUAUUCUAGGCUGCCCCAGGCUUUAGUUAAAGCAAAGUUUUCAACCUUGACACUAGUGACAUUUGGUAAUCCUUGGUUGUUGGGGGCUGUCUCCCUUUUAGGGUGUUUAGCGACAUCCCUGGCCUCUCCCCACCUGAUGUCAGUAUCAUGACCCCCGACCUCGAAAUGAAAUGAUCCAAAAUGUCCCCAGACCUUGCCAGGUGUUCACUGAGGGGAAAAGUCAGCCUGGUUAAGAACCAGCGGUUUAACGGGGGCCUCCUGGCAAUGUGGAGGAUAUUGGAUAGUUGCUCACUUUUAAAGUCCAUCAGUCCAUGGAGAUCUGCUGUGUAUGAGAGAGAAUUUGAAGCGGGGAGGGCACAGAUCCUUUCUUUUGUCUGUUGGAAGGGUGUUUUCUGCAGGAGCAUUCCAACUCCCCACACCCUCUUACCCUUAAAAUGUUAGGACAUGUGGAACAUCCAUUUUUGGUGUAAGACUGGGCACACCACCCUCAGAGCUUACACAGUGCUCAUUUGCAAGAUGGUUUAUAUUAGCAAGAAACAGCGCCAUCCAGGGCUGGGGAAGUGCACGGCCUGUACGAAGUGGAAUUGUAGCCUUUCAGGUAAAGAAGUCUAGGACACUUUGUUUAAUGAAUAAAGCAAGUAGUAGAAUGUGACCUCGUUUUUAUGAGAAAUUCUUCCUGUGUGUGUACAUGGUGGCUGACACAAAGAGAAAAGCCCGGAAGGGUUUCCCAGGGGGUCAUGAUGGUUUUGUUCACUGCUGCACCCCCCACCCCGGGCCCUGGCACGUAGUAGGUGCUUAAUUAUUAUUUCUUCAUAGCCAAAUGUGAAGUGGCAAGGCAAGGCUGUCAGCUUUUUUCUUUGCGUUUUCCAUCAUUUGAAUUUUUUAUAACGAGCAUAUAUUAACUUUGUGGCUUUAAAAAACCUUCCUCCAAAAAAAGGAAAUUAAAAAAAAAAAAGAAUCACGGCUUGAACUUGCCUGGCUCUUCCUUCUGCAGCGCUCGACAGGCACGUGCCUGUCUUGCCAAAGCCACGCAGAGAAACGAGGCUGGUGUUUUAUGGUCCUUGUUCAGUCAUGCAUUGAUAACAUUGGGCUUCUGAAGAAAGCUGCUGCUUUGUUCGUUUCUCUCACUUUGGUUUUUCCCUUGGGCUUUUGCAAGAGAGCAGAAACCAACAGACAGGAGGAAUGGACAGGAAGGCAGAAGGGGAAGAGAGCAGGGGCCUGGAAACCUCUGUCUUCUGCUCCAGGCGGAAGGCAGCUGGGUGGACCAAAUGACCUCUUGGUGGGGACUGAGCAUCCAUUUCCGUGGCUUCCUCCUUCGUCCUUGAGAUCUUCCCAAGUGCUGAAGGAAGCUUGGGGAUGAGUGGAGGAGAGGGAAGAAAAAAAGGAAUUAGCAUCUUUUGGGAAGCAAGUUUCUGGAUCACAAGGAUGAGGGUUUGGGGGAUCUUGUGGGGGGGUUGUUUCUUGGUUUUGAGAUGUUUUGGGUAGCAAUGUGAGGAAGAAGAGUCCCCUUCCCAGUCUUACGAUUUCUAAAUAUUCCAAAGGUCUUUGAGUUUGUACAACUGCAUCUCAAAUGUUUUUCAAAGUUUACAACUGACCUGAUUCAUAGAAAAAGAUAAACACCCUUCCCAUGUUUGGAGUCAUAUGUAAUUUUUAUCUCUUGACCUUUAAAUGUAAGCAGCAGUAAAAUGAAGAACUAUUGCCGUCAUUUAACACUCCGGCUGUACUAACUGGUUCCUGCCUGAGAACCGUGGCUUUAAAUUGGCUAAUGCAGAAUACUUGCAGAGCUAAUAAUAAUUCAGAUUAUUCCUGUCAGCUAUUCCGGUUUCAUGGGUAAUUUAGUAGUUGAAUAAAUUUUUAAAAAAAUUCAUUCGUUACCAUGCGCUGUUAUGAAUCAGUAGAUGGUUUACCAUUGGCAGCAGUAACUGUAAGAAGAUUUAAAUUGCUACUGAAAAGGAUUUGAGUGAAGGUAAUGUUUUAUAAUGUUCUAAGCCAUAUGCACUACUUUCAGGCCUCAUCAGUUUUACAUUGAUUCCUAGUGAAGUGUUUAAUUGCAUCAUGAAUGCAAUAUAAUUCAGUUCUUUCUGCUAAUAUGGUAUAUAUCUCAAAGUGAUAUACAGCACUGACAGGGAGAAUUCGCAGUUCCGUCUGGAUUUGGGAGGGCAGCGAGAAAUGGGGGCCUACUGGAUGCGUGGAGGGCAGACGCCCCGGAGGAGGGCUGCAGCCAGGCUCCAUCUUACUGACACUAGGGGAGUGUCACUGCACGUGUGGAGAGGCGGGCUGUGUCUGUCACUGGCUCCUGCUGCUACUGGCCAGCGAGAGGGGGGUCUGGUGUGUUGGCCUCCCCUAGGAGGCAGGGAGAUCCCUCAGCUGGCGAAAAGCUGCAGUGGGCUGGCCAGGCCCAUCGUGUGCUGAUGAAUUGGCUCCGGGGAUCUCACUGGCUGUUUCUAAGUGGGGACUGAGGACUGGGCUUCUGCUGCCAUUUGUUUAAUCAUUCAGUGAAUAUUCAUUUAGCACCUACUGUGUUCCAUAGCAUUUGGUGGCCAGGAAUGCCUUUUUGGGAGCUGGGCUUGACUCAUGUCUGUGCUCGGUUUUGAUAUAGGUCUCAAGGGCCCCGAAGCAAAGGCCUAAAAGGGGCUCAAACCUCUCACCCCUGCAGGUGCCACAGGCAGUGGCCAGACACUGAGACCUCAGCUCCUGGGGCAGACUGCAGGGUGUGUCCCCAGGAGGGCACAGCUGCUCCACAGCUCCAUCUGUGUCUCCAUAGGUCUGGUGUUAUUGGCGUCUUUGGUUUCUCAUGAGACGCUAGGCAUCCGGAUUUGUAAGCAAAAUCACCCUUUUAAAAAAAAAAUUUAUAUAUUAAUUGGUACAUUUUAGGUAUACAAUGCGUUUCCAUUUAUCAUUAGGUGCUUGUACCUGAACAUGAUGAAUCUUGGUUCUUAUUUUUUUCCCCAUUACCUGUGCACCCUUCACCCUCACCACCCUUCCCUAUUUACAUAGAUUUUGUUUCCAUUUUUUUUUCUUUCUCAUAAUUUUUCCUUUCCUUUCUUCCCUUUCCCCUUCCCCUCCCACCACCCCAAAUCACCCAUUUUUAAAGAAAAAUUAAAACGUAUACACCAUACAGGCCAAACUAAAUGCAGUAUGUCUGUGGGCACAGCCUGCCUGAGGGCCACCUGUUUACAGUGUCUGUUCAUGGGCAUGACUCUGCUGUUCAAGUGAAAAACAUUUGCUCUCGGCCGACAAAAUGUAUGCAGUUCGAGGCAGUGGGACUCUUGACAGGCUGGGACGUCGUUCUGUGGAGCAUCGGACUCUGAGAGUGGGGAUUGGGGGGGCCGAUGAAGGAGGCGGCUGCUUCCCAUCUGGCGGUCAUGGAUUUGGGGACAAGCUGCCCGGGAUGGGACAGGCAAGCCUACUUGCUGCUUCCCUAGAAAUGUAAAGGAGGCAUCUUCGCAACAGAACUAACAACAAGAGGGACAUUGUAGCCUGCGGCUUAUAACAUGGCAUCCGCGGCAGAGUGGAGUAGUGUGGAACCUGAAGAUGGUAGGGAGGGGCAGGAUGGAUAGAGCUGGAGCAGACGUUCCCCUUAUGCUUUUUCUUCUCUGAAUCUCAGCAGGCAGCCCAAGGCUCGGGGCAGUCCUGUAGGGAAAGCCCCUGGCUUCCAUUUCUAGAAGCUUCACUGGCUACCCUCCUUUCAGGUGGAAGGAUCCAGCCUUCUGAAAUGCGGUGUGUGAAAGCGAGACUCAGGCUAGCUGGCUUUCUCUGUUCAUUCAGAAAUAUUUCGGAACUGGGCAUGUUCUGGGGAGAUUGUGGUGACCAGGACUGAGGGGCCUGCCCCGCUGAGCAUCUCUACCAAAGUACGAUGAGAGCAAAUGAACGAUGAGAACACAGAUUAGCUCAGAUACUGCUGACCUCAGCCCAGCAGCAUCCACUUGACCAUACCUUGGUUCCAGCCUUUUAAAAAGUGUGUCUCAGUGUAUUUGUCAAGGCUGCAAUGACAAAGCGCCACCAUCAGGCUGGCUUACCACAGAAAUUUGUCUUCUCAAGGUUCUGGAGACUAGAAGUUCAUACUCAAGGUGGUUCCUUCUGACGCCUCUCUCCUUGGCUUGUGGCCAGUCCUCUUCAUGAUCUGAAGCCGUCCACCCUCUGUGCUUCUGUGUCCCAAAUGUCCCCCAUUUCAUAAAGACAACAGCCAUAUUGGAUUAGGCCCACCCCGAUGACCUCAUGUGAACUUGAUUUCCUCUGUAAAGAGCCUGUCUCCAAAUCAGGCCACAUUUUGAGGUACUAGGGCAUAUGGAUUUGGUGGAGGGGGUCAAAAUUCACCCCCUGAAACUCCACAUAUACGUAGUAUGGGUGUGAUUGCAGCAAGGUAGGAGGACUUUCAGCAAAGGGAACCGGAAAACAGUGCCCGUGUAUUCUCUUCAGAGAGCUGUCUCUGCCAGCCCCCAUGAGUGAUGCUGGUCACGUCCAUCCCUCUGGAGCAGGACCUUCAAAGCAGAGUUCAUGCAUUUUCAGCCAUCUGAUCCUGUGUAGCCACAAAGCAGCAGCCCGGGCCCUGGGGCUCCACCCUCAGCCUGGCGCCGAGAUGUAAUCAGAGCCUUCUUUCUACCCCCACUCUUGAGAAAGGCCAGCCGGGCCACCUUUUUGAUCAUCGUAACCUUGACACAGAAGAAUAAUUUAUCCAUGCCCCCAGAUGAGGAAAUUGCAAAAUAUUAUUUAUGAAGGCGAGCCACUACGUCGUAAUUCUGGCCCUGUGUUGCUGGAUACAGCUGGCCGUGAGUGAAGACAUGGGCAAUGUUUGAUACUAAAAUGGGACGUCUUACCCAUGAGAUGCAGGUGUGGGGGAAACAGGAGUGAGUUCCACUGGAGAGACCGUGGGGAACAUAUCAUUCUGGAAGUUGAUACAAACUAUCCUUCCAGGUACUCCCAAGUCCGAAGUAGGAGGACAAAAGUCUCCAUGAAAAUUAGCUCAGUGGCACUGCACCUGCCUUGCAAGUGCAAGGUCCUGAGUUCAAUCCCCGGUACCAAAAAAAAAAAAAAAAAAUCAAGGGCAUGAAGGGGAUGCUGAACACGAAAUAAGGGUGGGAAAAUGUGUGUAGACCAUUGUUUGGGGACAUGGCCUUGGUUCCGGGGACUUAGGAGAUUAUGUAGCACAGUAGUGAUGAGCUCUGGCUUUGUAGUCAGCCAGGCUUGGGUUUGACCCCCCAGCUCUGUCACUUGCUAUGUGCCAUUUAGCAGGUCAGAUCUGUAAACCUUAGCUUGUUCAUCUGUCCAAUAGGAAUAAGAACAAAUUUAACCCAGGGAUUAUCUUGAGGUUAAUGGGAGAUCGUGCAGAUAUAAUGAAAUUGUCAGAUCAGUGGACCCCACUUCUUACUUGGUAGCAAUUAAAGUGAAUGGUGAAGGCAGCUCUGAGCCACCCAGCCUGGCUUUGCAUCCCUGUUCCUUACUGGCUGUGUGAACUGGGGUGAGUCAUAUCACCUCUCUGAACCUCCAUUUUCUGUAUCUGUCAAAUGGGUAUAGAAAUGGUUCCCGUUUCCUAGAGUGGGCUUGCAGGUGGAAUGAAUGAAUGACAGGAAAGGGCUUAGAAAAGUGACUGUCACAGAGUAAAUGCUCAGUAAAUGUUGUCUGCUCAUGUUACUUCCUAGGCCACAAUCUGCAGUAGUCUUCCUUCAGAGAAGCUGUUCCCAACUUUGACUCAGAUUUAGAAGCAGCCUGUCCCCCAUCUGCUGACAAUGUUAACGACAUGCUUAGUUUAAAAAUCUGAACAGAUUUGCAUUCCUUGUGAUUUGAAACAUUCUCCUGAGCAUUGGUAAGUUUCUCCUGAGGUGACAAGGGCGUGUGUCCCCAGGGGAACUGCCCCUGCGUCUGUCUGCUGCAGACAGGAUGGUGGACUCUGACAGCUCUGAACACCCAUGUACAGAACCAGAAACACCACCAGCCGUUCUCAGGCACCAGCCAGAAAGUUCAGCCCAGCAAACGUUUUGCAGCCUCUCAGCACUUUGCGGUUCUACCAAAUUAGUGUUUGGUAUUGAAUUAGUAUUCAUUUUCUCUAAUAUGAUAUAAAAGUAUAAUCACAUUAGUGACUUUUAUAGCACAUUAGAUUAUACAUUUGGAACAUGUCCCCACUUGAAACAGCUUACAAAAAAAAAAAAGAAAGCAGCCAACAACAAUAACAACAAGCGAACCACUCUCCGUCCUAGCUCACAAGUCCUAGCUUUUCAACUGGGCUGCAGCAACCUGGAUAGAAAAUGCUUUCCCUGCCUCUUGGUCCCCACAGAGAAAGAAUUUUCAUUCCCCUGCCCUGAUUUGUGAAGCAGUGCUUUAAGACCUGAAUAGUCGUUCCAAAUGAAUGUUUCUUUAAUCCCGGGGCAGAAACGUAGGCUGUGCUGGAGAUGUAAUUAAUAGCACUAAUUACUCUUCUCUUGUUCCCUUUCCUUCUCCUGCCCUCGCCCCCACCCCCAAGACACCUGGCGAGAUCCCCCGGAAUGUUCACCUUUGGUUCCCAAAUGCUCCUGGCCAAGGAAACCAGCAAGCUCAGAGCCCACCCUACCCUAGAGUCCCUGUUCCAAAACAUGUUCCUCUACUUCCCAGUGGUUCCUCCAGUUCUGGGAUUUCUGGGCUUUCCAGAAGGUUAGAUUUUCUGUUCCCAGCUGUUGUAGUGACUCUGCCAGUUGUGAAGGGGAUAUUUCAGAGCAGUACCAGCAGCUUAGAACCUGACUUUCCCAAGCAUCCUUCCCUGCCAGGACAACUUCACUGAGGCACUGGUACAAACACAGGAAUUGUUUCUCAGAAAGAAUCCCCAAGGCCCUCCCACAGACACUCAAAACCUGAGGGAUCCAUCUGUAGCCUUGUUAAGGCCAAAGUUCAACCCCCACAAACUGUUUCCCAUUACAAAGAGUACAGGAUUCCAAAGCUUUCCACGUACAAUAAAAACUGGGAAAACUGGGGAAAGGACUAAGAUGAUGUAUUGGUACCUUUCCUCAUUCCUGAACCACAGAGAUGAGCAGAACCUCCUGAGAUUAGGGCAGGCUUUGGCAGCAGGCUGCAUUUUAUGUGCUGACUCCAAAUUCAGCAGUAGCUUUCUGCUUGGAAAAGGAUUUCUAGACCAGCUUCUGGAUCAACAAAAGAGGCCCAUGCAAUCUUUAAAUAUGCUAGAGCACCUACUGUAUGCCAAGUUCUACUGUCAGCACCAGGGACACAGCUUUUAACCAGGAUCCAGAAUCCUCCUGUAUAGAAAUUCAAACUCCAGUGGGUCAGCUUUUGUGAGGCUCAAGCACAAGAUAGAGCUUGCGUCUCUAAAUGUGCUAAAUGCAAUGGGAAGCCACUAGAGGAUCUGGCUUAUGUUUAAAGGAUUUCUCAAACAAGCAAACAAACACCCUGGGUUGUAUAUGGAAAGUUGAUAGGAAAGAGGACCAAGUUAGAAGGCCAGGUUCAAGGUGAUUACAGGUAUCUGUGCAAGGAAUUAGGGAUGGAUAUAAAUUGACUCAUUGACAGGUUUGAAUGGUAUUGGCAAUCCAUUAGUAAUGUCUGCCACAGAGGCAGUGGCCAACCGCAUACUCUGUAUUUUCUAUCUCUCCCUUGAAAGUCAUUGGGAAUUGGGGAAGAUGAAGGGUCAUCCAUCCAUGGAUAGUAAUUUGUGGCUUUAGCAACAGUGACAGACAUUCUGAGAGGUGUAUUUGAAGGCGGCGGGCGGGGGGGAUUUGCCAGAUUUUGAGGGAGGCGUUAAGCAGAGAGGCAGGCCAGUACGUGGGGGUGAGAUGGUACACUGUCUCAACCUGAGAUUGAUGGGGAUCAGACAGGCAAGUGGGACCCUUAGAAGAUGGAGAAAGUAGACCAAAUACCUAGAGAGUUGUGCAGGAACCCAACAUGCUUCCAUAGAGACACAAUCAGGAAGGCUCAAGAAAAAUAGGCAAGGAGGGCCGGGGAUUUAGCUCAGUGGUUUCGCUCCCUGCUGCACAUGUGCAAGGACCCGAGUUUGAUCCCCGGUAC
ensembl:lncRNA